rnacentral:lncRNA from 1 species
UUUCUUGCUCCUCUGAUCUUGUAACAUAACAUAACAUAACAAAUAGACUGAAAUCUUAUACAUGAGCCGGAAUCAUAGGAGAAAACCUAUAUAUACAUAUACAAAAGGGAGGAACCAUGGAGGUGAUAGGACCAAGUCCUACUGGUCAUCAAGCUUCCACACCUCAUGGAGGAGCCUGUACCUCGCUGUGCUUGAGUUGCUGAUCCGCUUCAGCUUUGCAAGCGGGUUCGAUGAGGUGUUGGAGAUGAAGGUAAGUGGGGAGCUCAGCUCAUCAAGCUCGUCAUCACUCGUGUU